GCCGGGCUAGCUCAGUCGGUAGAGCGAAAGACUCUUAUCUCACAGAGGGCAAGAUCUUUAGGUCGUGGGUUCGGUUCGUGACUUUCACAUCUCUCGCA